UUAAACAGUGGAAUUAGGAAU
ensembl:piRNA 21ur-5937 ncRNA